rnacentral:rRNA from 1 species
GAUGAACGCUGGCGGCGUGCCUAAUACAUGCAAGUCGAGCGAAUGGAUUGAGAGCUUGCUCUUAUGAAGUUAGCGGCGGACGGGUGAGUAACACGUGGGUAACCUGCCCAUAAGACUGGGAUAACUCCGGGAAACCGGGGCUAAUACCGGAUAACAUUUUGAACCGCAUGGUUCGAAAUUGAAAGGCGGCUUCGGCUGCCACUUAUGGAUGGACCCGCGUCGCAUUAGCUAGUUGGUGAGGUAACGGCUCACCAAGGCAACGAUGCGUAGCCGACAUGAGAGGGUGAUCGGCCACACUGGGACUGAGACACGGCCCAGACUCCUACGGGAGGCAGCAGUAGGGAAUCUUCCGCAAUGGACGAAAGUCUGACGGAGCAACGCCGCGUGAGUGAUGAAGGCUUUCGGGUCGUAAAACUCUGUUGUUAGGGAAGAACAAGUGCUAGUUGAAUAAGCUGGCACCUUGACGGUACCUAACCAGAAAGCCACGGCUAACUACGUGCCAGCCGCCGCGGUAA